ACAAGAGGGUCCUCUUCCACCUAGGCUAUUUAUAUUGGUUAUGGAUGUCUUGAAUUCACUGAUUAUCCGAGCUUCUGUCAAGUGACUUAUCACUCAUUAAAGAAACCUUGGACUCCUUUGGGCAUGCUUCAGGCUUCAUGACAAACAUGCUUAAGAUUUCAGUCAUGCCUAUCCAGUGCAAGGAUGAUGACUUGGCGGCCAUCUCCAGAAAUGAAGGAUUUCCCAUGCACCUACCUUGGCCUCCCUCUCACAGUUCAGAAGCCCGAGUUAGUGCCGCUUAUUGAUAAGGUGGCAGAAAAUCUUCCGGGUUGGAAGGCUUCCCUCAUGAACCACGCUGGCCAUCUUGUUUCAGUUUCGGGUACUCCUAACUUAUAUCCACUCUACCUAAGUGGGUGAUAAAGGCUUCUUUUUUGCGGGGAGAGUGAUAAAGGCUAUUGACAAGUGUGACCGGGGGGGGGGGGGUUCUUUGGAAAGGACAAGGCCAAUGGAGGCAACUACCUUGUGUACUGCACACUUUCCAAUUCAGUAUUGCAGUCUUGGCAUCCACAAUCUUGAAGUUUUAGGAUGGGCUCUCCGCAUUCGGUGGCUCUGGUUACAAAAAACUGACACAGCCCAAGGUGCCCUUAUUUUAUGCGGGAUUACUUGUGCCUCAGACUAUGAUGAACAUGUGAGAUAUUUGCCAUAUCAAGACGGCAUGUUAAAUAGUUUACUAGCA